rnacentral:lncRNA from 1 species
AAGGUGUGUUUCUUCAUUCUUGGUUUCAUGUUUAUAUCAUUUUGCUUUUCCCAGAUCAUGGUCAUUCAGAUUUUGGGAGCAACAAACAAGUUUGAUUGAGACGCAAGCUGUUCUUGUUGAGUUGCAUGAUAUCUUUCCCUUCUUUGAUUGUUCUUUAUUCCUAGCAUCUCCUGUCCAUGCAUCCUGAGUCCUGACCUAUCUGUUCCUGAAAAUGGAAAAUCGUUUGAAAACUGCAGCAUGAACCAAAAAGGGCUUCAAAUGUGUUGUAGAAAAGUUCUUACCCAUUCAAAGAACAUCAACUUGAUGUUCCAAUAAUUAGCUUUUGUUGGCGCAGGUUGAUUGGUACGGACCACAGAUUGUGAGAUCCAACAACCAAAUCUAAUCGCAGAAAAAGAAAGCCGGCGAAAGGCUUGUGUGGCAC